GGAAGGUCUAUGCAAAUUAUUUUGUAAUGCGCGAAAAAUUAAAAAUAAUUUUAAUUCAAAAUUACGAAAAAAAAUUUAAAUAACUUAUACUUUCGAUAAUUUUAUAAUUAUAUAAAUAAUGUAUAAUGAAUAUGGGAUACAAUGGAUCAGUAUUUAAACGUUAGUGCAUUUGCAUUAAUAUUACAUUACUCGUAACACGCGUAAAAUAUAAAAUAAUUUUAACUUAACACUAUGCCGUCCACACGUCUAAUCUAGAUUUUUUCGUGUCGCGCCGGUGGAAGUGACUUAUAUAAUUUCGCUUAUCGCCGGCGGUUUUUCGAGGUUCUUGUUUACUAAUCUUAUCGUCAGUUCCCAUGUCGCAAUUGUGUCUCUCGAUUUUCUCGAAAUUGUGAGGGUAUACAUAUGUAAAUAAGUACAAGAUUUUUUUGUAUUACAUGUUUAUCUAUUUAUUUAUAUUUUGUUGAAAACUUAGUAUUUAUUUUUUAAAUGAAAUGAAGUAAAGCAAUCUCCGAUGUAAAGCGCAUUCUCUGUUUACAUAUUUCAGAUUCAUCUGAAGAUAUUGCCUCAUUUUCCUUUUCUGAAGACGUAAUGUCUUCUAGUUCCUCACAAUCUUAAAAUUCGGAUGGAACAUCAGACAAGAUGUCCACAUACUCAUCACAGUUUUGAAUUUGAAUUGAAUUCUCCACAAUGCAGCCAUUGGUGCUUGAGCAAUAAUUUCCGAAUGGCACCAAGGUGGAGCUACCGGACGUCAUAGUGUUAAUAUUAAAUUCAUUUCAAUUAAUGAUAACAGAGUUGUUGGCUAUACGUAAUAUCAAUAAAAACGAACGAUAGAUUGACUUUGACGAAUAUCGAAACAAUUUUCUUUUGCCUUCCGAAGAGUAAACAUUGAAAUUCGUUCUUUCCAUACAGUUAAACUUAAAUAAAUUAUUAUUUCGAUAAUUUUUGAAUUAUUUAAAGAAUUUGAAACAUACGACAUGGAUUAUAAUUAACUAGAAUUUAAACUAAUAGCAAAUUCAUUUAAACAUUACGUAGUUCCAAAGAAAAAUAUUAAAAAAAAAUCGUGCGUCGAUCGUUUAAUGCCAACAAAAAGAAGGAUCAUUGGAAGGACAAUGCGAGUUUCUACGUCAGUCUGUUUUUGUAUUCCGAGGAGUAAAAGUCGAAAUACACUCUUUCCGUACCGCUACAUUUAAUCAUCUUACAGAUACGACUAUUAUCUAAUUAUAUAAACAGUGUACAAUGUAUGCGAAAUUAUAUAUUUAAGCAACAAUAUAUUCCGUUAAAGAUUGUAUAACUCUUAAGAUUCGUCCAUUAUUGGAGCCGAUGUAGAAUAAAGUAAUGUUUAAAUAGUAAUACAUUAGUUUAAAUAUUAAAAAGGUGGAAGCGAACGAGAAACUUAUAAUAAUUUUAAUAUAAUAUUUCUUUACUUUAAUAAAUAAGAAAUAAUUUUAAUCACGUAGUAGUUGGCGUAAUGUAAACCUAAACACACUUUUUUUUAACUUUCAUGAUUGCCGCAUUAGUUUUCUUUUGUACUCCGAUGAGUGCACACCGUAACUUUCUUAUUAGAAACGCAAAAAUUUAUAAAUUAAUAUUUUCAAUAAUUUCUCAAUUAUUUAAACAAUCUUCAACUUAAAAAUUAAUAAUUUCGAGUUAAUUUUCCCUUGCACUGCGACGAGUAAGGUUUGGAAUUCUGUCUUUUUAUUGACUUGGACGAAUACCGGAUCAGUUCUCCUUUAUGCUUUGACGAGUAAAUAUUAAAAUCCUUUCAGGAUGUCUGCAAGUAUUAACGAAUAUUUGAGAACAUCAUUGCAAUUGCGCGCGAAGCAAUGAUGUAAUCGAAUAUUUGCUAAGAAUAUCAAUAAGUAGAAGCAGUGUUCGUUCGUUCGCGUUUCGCGAUUUAAAGAGCAAAAGUUUUUGUAUCGUCUGCGUGCAAUGCAGUCGUUAGAGUCAAUGUUUGUUCGCAAAGUUUAUUAAUUUUUUAAUAGUCGCACAAACUGUAUUUAUGAAAGACAAUAGAGUUUUGCGAAGUAAACUUAGUAACCGUUCGUUAAAAAAUAACUAUCGCAUAAUAGAGUUAGUGCAUCAUUGAAUAGAUUCUUGAUCAUCUUCUAUGUCGACCUACCUAAUUUUCAAUCACAUACAAAUCAUCUACUCUCAAUUUCGAUCUGAACGAGUGUUUUGGAGCCAUCGUAGAACUUCUUAAGUAUUUUAGAGUGAUAAUCGAUUAGGUUGGGGCACGAACCAAAGAAGAGGCUGUAACCGAAGAGCCCUCCACAAAAUGUGGCUCAAGAGGACAACUAUUAGGUUAUUAAAUUAUUUUCGAAGGUUCACUAGAAACUUUCGAAAAUGGCUCUUAGUCGUAUUUUAAUUUUACCAUGUUGUCACUCAAAUUGCUUUUAUGGUGAUGAGUGUAGGAGUGUAGAUUUAAAAAAACUGAAACGAAGUAACAUUCCGUAAAUAACAUUCUCACAUUGUCACGCGUACGCGAAUAGGAUUAUUUUAUAUUUUAUGCAUUUUUAAUAUUAAACUCGAGAUAUAAAUUUUACACAUUUUCUCUUUUCUAAAAUUCAAUUGAAAUUAU